CCUACGGGAGGCAGCAGUGGGGGAUAUUGCACAAUGGGGGGAACCCUGAUGCCGCGACGCCGCGUGGGUGAAGGAGCGUUUCGGCGCGUAAAGCCCUAUCGGCCGGGAAGAAGGAGGACGGUACCUGCAUAGGAAGCCCCGGCUAACUCCGUGCCAGGAGCCGCGGUAAUACGGAGGGUGCGAGCGUUAUCCGGAAUUACUGGGCGUAAAGCGCGCGCAGGCGGUAGGGCAAGCCAAGCGUGAAAGCCCCGGGCUCAACGUAGGUACUGCCGUUGGAACUGGGCCACUGGAGUGCAGGAGGGGAAGGUGGAAUUCCAGGUGUAGCGGGGAAAUGCGUAGAUAUCUGGAGGAACACCGGUGGCGAAGGCGACCAGCUGGCACGUGACUGACGCUGAGGAGCGAAAGCGUGGGGAGCAAACAGGAUUAGAUACCCGGGUAGUC
rnacentral:rRNA from 1 species